rnacentral:lncRNA from 1 species
AAUGACUGUGGAAAGGAGUAGCAUGACAAUUACAAAGUUCAUUCUCUUGGGAUUCUCUGAAUAUUCAAAGACCACUAUUUUUCUCUUUUCAGUAUUCCUAGGGAUAUACCUCCUGACCAUGUCCUGAAACGUGAGUCUCAUCGCCCUUAUCAGGACGGACUCCCAUCUACAUGCACCUGUGUACUUUUUCCUUAGUAAUCCGUCUUUUCUGGACAUCUGCUGUGUUUCCACUAUAGCCCCCAAGAUGCCCUCAGACUUUUUCAAGAAGCAUAAAUUCAUUUCCUUUAUGGGGUGCACCAUGCAGUACUUCUCUAGCCUGAAUGUGACUGAGUGCUGUCUUCUUACAGCCAUGGCUUAUGAUUAAUAUGCUGCCAUUUGUGAUCCUCUGCUCUACACAGCCAUCAUGUCACCUGCUCUCUGUAUGCCAAUGGUGGCAGGAUCUUGUACAACUGGAUACUUUGUCUCAUUUAUCCAACUCUGUGCCUUGCUUCUGCUCCAUUUCUGUGAGUCAAAUAGCAGCCAUUUCUUUUGUGACCUGCCCCAACUGCUGAUUCUAUCCUGUUCUCAUACUGUUUUUUUUUUCUCAAGUCAUGACCACUAUGCUCACAGUAACCUUUAUACUCACCUCUAUCUUGGUUAUCAUGAUAACUUAUGGUUAUAUCAUUGCCAACAUUCAUCUCUUUUAUGGGAUGCACCAUGUAAUACUUCUUCUCUAGCCUGGGUCUGACUGAGUGCUGUCUUCUGGAAGCUAUGGCUUAUAAUUGAUAUGCUGCCAUUUGUGACCCUCUGCUCUACAUGGCCAUCCAUGUCCCCAACCUCUGUGUGCACAUAAUGGUUGGAACCUGUAUAACUAUUAUCUUUGGCUCAUUUAUCCAACUAUGUGCUUUGCUUCAGCUCCAUUUCUGUGGGCCAAAUAGCAACCAUUUCUUCUGUGACCUGCCCCAACUCUUGAUCCUAUCUUGCUAUGACACCUUUUUCUGUCAAGUCAUGACAUCCAUGCUUACAGUGGUAUUUGGACUCACAUCUGUCUUAGUUAUCAUGAUAUUUUAUGGCUAUGUCAUUGCUACCAUUCUGAAGAUCAUCUCAGUUGAAGGCAGGUCUAAGGUCUUCAACACUGGUGGUUCUCCCUGAUAGCAGUGACUCUCUUCUAUUGCUCAAGAAUCUUUGUCUAUAUGUGCUCUCACUCUGAUGCUUCUCUGAGUAGAAACAAGGUGGAUUCUAUUGUAUACACUGUGGUGAUCCCCAGGUUGAAUCCAUUGAUCUACAGCCUGAGUGACAAGUAAAUCAAAGAUGCCCUAAAGAGAUGGACGAAGAGAAUAUUCUCCUGGCC